UUUACUUUCUCACACUCCCCAUCUUUUUCUUGUCUUAAUGUUUAUUUACGUUCUCCUUAUAUUUUCAGAUUUCCUGCAAAAUUCUCACAACUUGAACUUACAUUCCACUUAUCAUAUUGUUUUAUCAUGUAAUUUCACCAUGUUUUGAUCAGGAAGACAAUGAGGUGGAGAAGUGAUCAAGUAUUUGUACCAGCUUUGCUGUUCAAUGUUCAGGAACUUACUCUGCAGCUUCCUCUAUUCGCGCUGAUGAAGGAAGACUUACACCAUAGUUGUCAACUUGUCAUGCUGUUCUCAUUCUAUCCAUCUAAAGAUUGCAAUGAAGGAAAAAAAAAGGUACAUACUUGAUCAACGCUGAACAUUCCGUAUAACUUCCAGAAUCAUAUUUUUUGUGAUUUUCGUGCACGAUAGCCUACCAGAUUCUUCUGCUGCAUAUUUAAUUAUCUUUUUUAAGCUUUUGAUUUGCAGUUUUACGUUAGAUUAAGGUGUUUUUGGUCUGCAAGUAUUACUAAAUCUUAUUAAACAUUUAUCAUGCUGAGUGUUGACUAUUUCUGGCAUAUAAUAGUAUAUGGCUGUACCAUAUGACAGGUGAGGAAUGGUGAUGGUUUCCCACUUCUUUUGAUAUCUUUGAAAGGAAAGAUUUGUAUAAUAUAGCCUUGAAGUAGAUUAUUUAUUAGGGUGCAAAAUAACAAAUGGGGAUAUUCUUUUGUUUAAUUAUUGUUUUUGUGAUUCAGUAUUAUUUACUAUACUAUACUAUGAUGAGCUUUCAA